CAGUCGCCGCGGGAAUACGUAGGUCCCGAGCGUUGUCCGGAUUUAUUGGGCGUAAAGCGAGCGCAGGCGGUUAGAUAAGUCUGAAGUUAAAGGCUGUGGCUUAACCAUAGUACGCUUUGGAAACUGUUUAACUUGAGUGCAAGAGAGGAGAGUGGAAUUCCAUGUGUAGCGGUGAAAUGCGUAGAUAUAUGGGGGAACACCGGCGGCGAAAGCGGCUCUCUGGUCUGUCACUGACGCUGAGGCUCGAAAGCGUGGGUAGCGAACAGGAUUAGAUACCCCUGUAGUCCCUGUCUCUUAUACA
rnacentral:rRNA from 1 species